rfam:Triticum aestivum genome assembly, contig: Triticum_aestivum_CS42_TGACv1_scaffold_177956_2DS
UACAUACUCCCUUCUUCCGAAAAUACUUAUCAGAAAAAUGGAUAUAACUAUAUAUAUUUUAGUUAUAGAUAUAUCCAUUUUUAGACAUUUCUUUGACAAGUAUUUCCGGCCGGAGGGGGUAUUUU